rnacentral:lncRNA from 1 species
UUUCAUCGAUCUUUUAUUUUGGAGGUAAAAAACGUAUUCAGAUUCAUAAGAAUUAGGGGAAAGAAACUGAGUCAAUGAAAACACAAUAAAUUUACUGCGAUGUCAACCGGAAGUAAAUACAUUGAAAAGAUGGUAGUUCAAGUUUUCGACAUGGUUUAGUGAAUUCAGAGUAGAUUACCGUGAAGAGGAACACUGUGGGGAUUAUGAAAUUAGUUUAGUGUUAAAGGAAAAUAUUCACUGAAUCGAUUCAUAUAAGGUAGGGAAUUUUAGCAUUAAGUUGAAGGGUAGAAAAAGCGUUCGAAGCGGAG